rnacentral:rRNA from 1 species
AACAGCAGCUAUAUCACCCUGCAGCUCACAACUGGCAGCCCCUCUGCAGCUCAGCAGGUGUGAGCCUGUCCAGUACUUGGAUGGGAAACCUCCUGGGAAAGCACAGGUUGCUGCUGGAA